ACUGCGCCCUCGGUCCGCCCCAGAUCAUCCGCCAGCUGGAGAACAACAUCGAGAAGACAAUGAUCAAGAUCGUCACCAGCCAGAACAUCCACCUGCUGUAUUUGGACCUGCUGGAUUAUCUGAAGACAGUGCUGGCAGGAUACCCCAUUGAGCUGGACAAGCUGCAGAACCUCGUGGUCAACUACUGCUCAGAGCUAUCGGAUAUGAAGAUCAUGUCCCAAGAUGCCAUGAUGAUCACGGAUGGGGUCUGAAGAUAGUGAUCCGGGGCGACAGGAACACGGGCAAGACAGCGCUGUGGCACCGCCUGCAGGGCCGGCCGUUCCUGGAGGAGUACAUCCCCACACAGGAGAUCCAGGUCACCAGCAUCCACUGGAGCUACAAGACCACGGAUGACAUCGUGAAGGUUGAAGUCUGGGAUGUAGUAGACAAAGGAAAAUGCAAAAAGCGAGGCGACGGCUUAAAGAUGGAGAACGACCCCCAGGAGGCGGAGUCUGAAAUGGCCCUGGAUGCUGAGUUCCUGGACGUGUACAAGAACUGCAACGGGGUGGUCAUGAUGUU
rnacentral:sRNA from 1 species